rnacentral:rRNA from 1 species
UUACGGAGGGUCCGAGCGUUAUCGGGAUUUAUUGGGGUUAAAGGGUGCGCAGGCGGCCAUUUAAGUCAGCGGUUAAUACGUGGGGCUCAACCCCAUUCUGCCUUUGAUACUGGGUGGCUUGAUUGCGGGAGAGGUGGGCGGAAUUCGUUGUGUAGCGGUGAAAUGCAUAGAUAUGACGAAGAACACCGAUGGCGUAGGCAGCUGACCAGACCGCAAAUGACGCUCAUGCACGAAAGUGCGGGGAUCGAACAGGAUUAGAUUCCCUGGUAGUCCGCACAGUAAACGAUGAAUACUUGAUUUCGGCGAUAUAAUGUCGGAGGCAAAGCGAAAGCGAUAAGUAUUCCACCUGGGGAGUACGCCGGCAACGGUGAAACUCAAAUGAAUUGGCGGGG